rnacentral:rRNA from 1 species
CCUACGGGAGACUGCAGUCGGGAAUAUUGCGCAAUGGAGGAAACUCUGAUGCAGUGACGCCGCGUGCAGGAAGAAGGUUUUCGGAUUGUAAACUGCUUUAGACAGGGAAGAAACAAGACAGUACCUGUAAAAUAAGCUCCGGCUAACUCCGUGCCAGCAGCCGCGGUAAUACGUAGGGCGCAAGCGUUAUUCGGAUUUAUUGGGUGUAAUGGGUGCGUAGGCGGGAAGUCAAGUUGGUUGUGAAAUCCCUCGGCUUAACUGAGGAACUGCAACCAAAACUAACUUUCUUGAGUGCUGGAGAGGAGAGUAGAAUUCCUGGUGUAGCGGUGAAAUGCGUAGAUAUUAGGAGGAACACCAGUGGCGAAGGCGACUUUCUGGACAGUAACUGACGUUGAGGUACGAAAGUGUGGGGAGCAAACAGGAUUAGAUACCCCUGUAGUC